AGCUAAGGUAAACCAUGUGAUCACCCUCGCGCCCGACGCAGAGUAGCUGUAAUAAAUGCUUGGGAAGUUAUAGAGAGAAAGGAUACGAUCCCAGUGAUUAAUGCCAAAGCCCUGUUGCCUGGGGAGAGGGUGAUGCUUGACUUUCUUGUACAGCUGCAGUUUGUGUGGUGAAGGUGCUCCCACAAUGUGGUUGGGAUACUACAGGUGGACAUUCAGAUGGUAAUCUCAGUCAUUGUAACACCAAACUCUGAUUGAAUUAGUCAAUUCAUCAGGACCUGGAUAUUCGCAUUGUGUGGUCAUCAGGAUCUGAAUAUCAUUGACAUUUAACUGUGGAAGGAGAAAGAGUGCUGAAAGGGCAGAUUUGUGGAUGAGAAAUUCAAAUUGAACUUCCUGUUCGGUUUUGAUAGUUA